AUCACCCUUUAUCCUUGAGAACUGCUUCUGGAUGUUUGGUUGGUUAUCCACAACUGAGCUACAUCUCCCUCGGAAUUAUAUUUGGGAGUUACCAAUAUGUGAAGAAAACCAAGUGAGCAAUUUUGAAUGAUGCUGCCUGAAAUGCUUGUGUGCCUUCUUUCCCAAGAUUAUUCAACGGGGCCCAAAUAAUCUGCUCCAUCAGUUUGAGCCCCUACCUCUUUAGGCCUCCAGCUGUAGGCCAAUUCUGACAGCACUUUCCCCCCUUUCCCUGACCAUAUACACCAUUUGCAGUGGGUUGUGCUAUGAUAGAUUUUCUACUCUGAAGACAUUCAAGAGUUAUAUGGUAAUUUGAGGAUUUGCCUUGAAGACAAUGGCUCCUGUUCUUCCAUACAGCCCAGUCCCAGGAACUUCUGUGCUCACACAGGGCAGGGUUUUUGACCCAGCAUGGCAGGUAUAGGGAAUUUGUAACAGAUAAGUGCUUAUGAGAGUACCCUUCUUAAUUGCUGAAUCAAGAGCUGGAUAAUGUUAGUAAAAGAGGCAUAACUUGGUUGACUAACGUAUUCUUCUCUCUCCACCCUCUCCUCCAUUUCAUUCUUUGUUAUUUGGACGACAGGUGGAAGAAAGAGCCAUGAGAAAUAUUUUAAAGGGGAAGGAGAGCAUAAAAUGAAUCCCAGAAGCUUUCAUUGUUUUUAAAUCUCCAGAGGCCCAAUGUUGAGCCAACCUACUGUCCAGACCUCACCAACGGUAAUGGAGUUUCAUGUUAAUAAUUAAGAGGGCUAAUGUUUGUGUCAACUACUGAGAACAAUGUUAUUCCCUUGUUUCUCACCCCAGAGAACUUUUUCCUCCUGAAAGAUCAAAAGCCAAUACCAAGUAACAGUUUAAAAGGACAAGUAUUCUGGAUACCUUCGAGCCAAAUAGCGGGAGGAGAUAGUAUAAGCCUUCCAGUGCAACCCUGUGCGACUCUACUCAGAUGGAAGCCCCACUCUGUUUAAUAAGACUUGUUCCAAGAUAACAGCUUAUAUUAAUGAAAUUCCCUGUAAGUAUUCUGUAUCUCAUCAUAUUUGGAGCAUACAAACAAAGAAAUAUAGGAAUUCCAUUUUUGCAGUGUUCUCAAUCAACAACUUACGCAUUCUUUUGAGAGAUUGUUGCAAGUUUUAUUCUUGAGAUUUGUAAUUAUGUUUCUCUUUUUUUAUCUGUGACUGCCUGUUGUUAGUAAUUAAACUUUAAAUUUAUGCUCAACAUCCUGUAUCGUCAGGGUGGAGUGCACAUUUCCAC
rnacentral:lncRNA from 11 species